rnacentral:misc_RNA from 1 species
UUCAUAACAAUAUUGUUUUCUACUGUUAUACAUACAUGCAAUGUCAAAGUGAUUAUGCUCUUUAGUUGCUAGAGUUUUGUAGUGAUUUCUUGAAUGGUGAUUGUUUUUCUUUCCUAUCUUUAGAUGAAUCUAAAUAAGCCUUAGGUGCCAGUGUUUUGUUAUAGCUAUGUUGUUUCCUGGAACUUCUUGGAUCUUUGUUGUGAG